rnacentral:rRNA from 1 species
CACGUAGGGUGCGAGCGUUGUCCGGAAUUAUUGGGCGUAAAGAGCUCGUAGGCGGUGUGUCGCGUCGGCCGUGAAAACCUGCAGCUUAACUGUGGGCUUGCGGUCGAUACGGGCAUCACUGGAGUUCGGCAGGGGAGACAGGAAUUCCUGGUGUAGCGGUGAAAUGCGCAGAUAUCAGGAGGAACACCGGUGGCGAAGGCGGGUCUCUGGGCCGAUACUGACGCUGAGGAGCGAAAGCGUGGGGAGCGAACAGG